rnacentral:rRNA from 1 species
CCUACGGGAGGCAGCAGUGAGGAAUAUUGGUCAAUGGCCGGAAGGCUGAACCAGCCAAGCCGCGUGAAGGACGAAGGUGCCAAGCAUUGUAAACUUCUUUUGUCAAGGGACAAAAUCAGGCUCGAGAGCCUUACCGAGGGUACUUGAAGAAAAAGCAUCGGCUAACUCCGUGCCAGCAGCCGCGGUAAUACGGAGGAUGCGAGCGUUAUCCGGAUUUAUUGGGUUUAAAGGGUGCGUAGGCGGACUGUUAAGUCAGCGGUAAAAGCCCGGGGCUAAACCCCGGCGUGCCAUUGAGCCUGGCUGUCUUGAGAUGACGAGAGGUAUGCGGAAUGCGCAGUGUAG